AUACUUGUAUGUAUUUAUUAUCGUUGUGUGAAUGAAUAAACUGGUUAUACAGGUUUUUGAAGGUGAUAUAUGUCCAAUGGUGCGGAAAUCAAGAUUUCCUCGUGCACAGAUUUGUAGGUUUAGUCAUUCGACAGGCAAGCAGGGUACAGCGAAGACUUGAUUUAAAUCUUUUUAUUUAUUUUCUCAACCACAUUUCAUUGUGAAAUUUGAUUUAUUUUUGUGUCGUAUUGGCGUUGGUAAUUUAUUAAUAUGGACAGUCAGGAUGAGAGGAGAGAUCGUCUCGCCGGCGGGGACAGGGCUGGCACAGUAAAUGGACACACGUAGCGACCACGUGGUAGCGGUCAAGAAGGUAGGCCCUCGGGGAUAGAGGAGAAUUGUUUGACGUGUUUGGUUUACAUAUAAUACGCACAUUGUGAAGAAAAGUAUCAUUUCUCACGUUUUUCUCUUGUAAAUUGUAGUUUAAAGAGAGGCAUGUCCUUUUUUCGGAAAAUCAUUGGUGCCAAUCCUGAUAUAAUUGACUGUAUUGUCGGCGCUUACGCAUUACCAUUCUUAUAAUUACCUGAAAAAUGUGUAUCUGUAAAUAACCAAUCAGCUUUAAAGCAGAUAGAUUAGCAGAUAUUAACGAGUCGGUGCAGGAUAUGUAAAAUACUGGCUGUAUUGAAGAAUUAAAGGACAUCCCUCAUGUUGUUAGUCAAUCAAGUGUAGCCGUGAAUGAAGCCGGAAGCUGGAUUUGUAAUCAAUGAGGACAAGUCAAUAUAAGUACCAGUUCAGAGGCUAGAAUGGGUAGGAUUAAUCUGGGAUAGCCAAAUGUUUUCUUUUGAAAUUCUCGAUAGAAGAAUAACUGAUUUUAAAAAUACUCUUUUAAAGGUAUUUUCUUCCAUGCCAAUGGUUUCGGCAAGGGAUUUAGCUAGAUGUACGGGGAAAAUUGUUUCAAUGAUGCCUGUUAUUGGUAGUCUGGCUAGGUAAAGAUUAGAUAUCUUUAUUAUGAAAUCGUUUCUAGACCGUCAAUGCAUAGAGUUAUAGCCCUUGAACCAGAUAGCUUAUUUAUUUCCGAAUUUAGAUUUUGGUUAGGUCGCAUAGAUGGCAUACAAUCAAGACAUUUUAGUAAAACUACUUGUGUCGAAGUUUUAAAAGUUUACAGUGAUGCAAGUGGUUUUGCCGGUGGGGCUUAUAUUGUUGAUAUGUCAGGUUUUAUUUUUCACGAUAUAUGGUCAAAUGACGAUUGCAAUACAAGUUCUACUUAUAGAAUACUAAAUGGAGUAGUUCUAGUUUUACGUGCCUAUGGGAUUUUUUAAGGGUGGGGGGCUGUUAAGAGGUUUUCUGACUCUGAAUCACGUGUAAAGUUGGUAAAGGUAGGAAGUUCUAAAAUUGAGUAACAUGAUCUAGCACUAAGCAUUUUAGUAUGUGCUUGAAGAUGAAUAUAGGACUAGAAAUACAAUGAAUUCCAAGAGAAUUAAACUCCAUUGCCAGUAUAAGUAAAAUGAGCAAUUCAGAUGAAUGGUAAAUCUCACGAGAUUUCUUUGAGUAUUUAAAUGGUAGCUCGGGUCCGAUUUUGAUUGAUCGCUUGGCUACUGUUAAAAAUGGAAAUACUUUGAUCUUGAAACAGAAGCAGAUUGCUUUACACAGUUUUGGGGUGCCGAUUUGAGUUGGUUGAUGCCCCUAUUUAUCUCGUAGGAAAAACAAUUUUGCACUUUCUAGAAUGCAACGCAUAUGGCGUUUUGGUGGUACACAGAUGGCCUAGUGCAGCAUUUUGGCCAUUCUUAUUUGAGGCUGGUAAUGUACAAAUGCACUUUGAGAAUGAUAUUAUUGUGUUUGACAAAGGGCAAACUAUUUGUAUGAGUAAUAACCACUCUGUUUCAGUUCAAGACCUUUUUCAAGAAAUGUUCUUGCUAUUCGAAUUUAACUAUACUAUAUGUCGUUUAUAUGUGAAUCGGUGAUAUGAAUGGUUUGACUGUUUUGCUAUACUUAUGGUAUAGUUGGGAUUUUUCACGUGUUUAUAUGUGUGGAAAUGAUUAAAUGGAUGUUGUUUUUGUAUAGCCAUUAAGUAUGUAUAGAAACCAUGUUGGUGUAUGUCCGUUUGCACCUGGUGCCUACGAAGUCGUGUACAGUACACGAGGAAUGGAAUAUUUGCAAAAAAGAAAGCAAAAACAGUACUUGCAAAAAAAAAAGCAAGGGUUAAAAAUAAUAGUUUUAAAAGUAUAAUACUUGCAAAAAAGUUAGCAAGGGUAAUAUUUAUUUCAAAUUGGAAAAUACUUGCAAAAAAGAAAGCAAGGGAAACGGUUUUGUGACAGAAAGUCAAUUUAAAAUGUUGGUGUGUGUGUUUCAUGUCUGUCUGCCUCUGGGGUAGACGCGAUUGUGUGUGGCAUUUCGUGGGCUCAUGGGGUUGUGGGAUCGUGUGGUCGUUGUAAUUCUGGUCUGGUUGUGUUUUCUGAUGAUGGAUUGAAAAGGGCCAAUUCUGGGCCGCUGGUUCGGAGGUGCUUAGUGACUAAAGCGGAUGUGUAGAGGCUUUGAUUCUUUGAUGUGAGAUGUGUAACGGUGUGUUUGGUGCGUUUUUUGGGGGGGUUUGGGGACUUUGAAUUGAAAGGAUGCGAUACAAGAUUUUUGAGGAUUGUGCUAUAAUUAUUAUUUUCAAUAGUAAAAUGGUUCAAUUGUGCAAGGGCGAACAGGUUUUGACAUUUUGUAAAACAAAUGCAGUUUUAUGCCCUGUCUUCUACUUGAAAAAAUGUAUCUUGGUUAAAACUAUUCUAGAUAUUGCAAUAUAUGUUUCGUUUAGAAACAUAACAAAUGGUAAGAAAAUGAAUAAAUACAUUUUAGUUGGCUCAAAGCAGAUGAGUUACAGUAGACAAUUAGAUAUUUUGCACCACAUCUUUAGUGAAAUUUGACUUAAACCUAAUGUUUACGGGUUGCAUUAAUUUCGGUCAGGGGAAGCAACUGCUGUUGCAAAUAGCGGUGUAUCUGAUAGUGUUAAAAAAGCAUGGGCAGUGGAAGACUGUUGGCGCUUAGGAUCACUGCGUGAGAGAUUCGGAUGAAACACAAACAAUUGUUACUUCUCGUUUGGAUUUGUAAAUAUAUAUGGUACUUGGUGUUGUAUGUUGUUAGUUGUGCGUUGUUUUUUUUGCCCCGUUCUUUUUCGGUCGAUAAAAUACCCUGCUUGUCAUGACACCUAAACAAAUGUGUUUGUUUUUAUUCUAAAUGGUUAGAUGAUAAAUAAUUUAUGUUUGUAAUAAAAUGUAAUGGAAUAUAAAACAUAAAUGUAUUUAUUAUCGUUGUGUGAAUGAAUAAACUGGUUAUACAGGUUUUUGAAGGUGAUAUAUGUCCAAUGGUGCGGAAAUCAAGAUUUCCUCGUGCACAGAUUUGUAGGUUUAGUCAUUCGACAGGCAAGCAGGGUAGAGCGAAGACUUGAUUUAAAUCGUUUUAUUUAUUUAUGCUCUGUUUGUGUGUUGAUGUUAAUAUUAUGUUUUAUGUGUUUCAGUGAGUUUUAUGAGAGCAGACGGAUGACUGACUUGAGAUAGAAAGGGGCAUUGGUUCCAGACAUUUUACCAUGGGAUUUACAUAGUUUUCUAAAAAGAAUACUUAACGUUUACGAUAUAGUAACAGCUGAUUAUUUGUAGAUUUCUCUAAAAUUAGAGGUUUCAGGAGGUGAUGAAGGCACCUAGACACCGGUCUUGAGCCAUGGGUCCUCAUACGUCCCCCUGCCAUUAUAAGAAAAAUGAAAAAUGAGCAGUAGGGUUGCGUAUCCCGCUCGCAGUUUCACCUGAAUCGUUCGUUACCACCGAUUAUUGUUUGGGGUGUACGUGAAGUCAUGUGCACUUCUCUUAAUUGAUGGUAAUGAAUAAAUCUUGUAAUUAUCGCAGCUGUUUUAUCAAAACUAAUGCUUCACUUUAUGUACUUUUCGCAAAUAGGCGUUGUGGAUGGGCAUAGGGGGCGUCCUCGGUGCGCUUUGGGCAUCGGCGGCGGACGGGCGGUUGUUAGGGCCGUGGCGUCCUUGUUUGGGCUUGUGAUUUUGAAUUGUGUAGUUAAAUUGUGCAAUUGUAUGAUUUUGAGUUUAGGCUUGACGUCUGAUGGGUAUUAAAAAUA